GCUACAGCAGCUUGGGAUAAGACUAAGAUCCACACAGGCUCUGAGGCAUUUGGAGGCAGAAGAACCUAACUGAUGGUCAUUGCACUGGGACAGAGCAAGUGCCCAAGAAUAGGAGAACUCAAGCUUGCUUGUAGGAGAAGAGGAACUUCCCAGCAAAAGGAAUAGUCAGGGCAAGGCGUGCUCCAUGUGCUAACAGCUAGGGAGGAGCUGUGCUGAGGGCACAGUGGCCUGCAUUACUGAGAGAGAAUUUGUGAGGCAUGUGGCAGCAGAUGAGGCUGCGGUUAGGCAGGUGGAAGUGUUUGUGUUCAACUCCUGAGUGUAGAUUUCUCCUUGAAAGCAAUGGGCAGCCUUUGGAAGAGUCUCAGAAGGAUAAAGUUGUUGUUUUUGUUUUUGUUUUUGUUUUUUUUUUUUUAGAACUGAGUUUCUAGAGAGGCAGUUUGGAGCCAGGUUGAAAUAACAAGGCAAGCUGAGAAGGCAUUGCAAUAGUGUUUGGGUGAGUGAUGACGGGCUCUGAACUGUAGCAGUGGUGAUGGGCCAAAAGCAGAGGAAGGCUGUCGAUGAAGAAGCGGAGUCUCCAGGAUACACAAGGCACCAGGGCCCCUGUGGAAGAUGCUUCAAGACGUGGAUGGGGACAGGAGAGAUCACUGAGCCCGACAACUCUUUCAGGUGAGUCUGAGGGAGCGAGCACAGCUGCACUCUCCUCCAGAGAGGCUAGCAGAGAAGGUCUGAUUUCCAUGUGUGAGGCUCAGGUGAGCAGAUUCCCUUGGCCCAGGAUCCCCGCUCACCCUCUACAGGACAGAGGAGGGUAUCCCAGCUCUUUCUUGGGUUUGCAGACCAUGAAACCGGGAGAGGCAAAAAUGAUGACCCUCCUCCAACAGCAUGAAAUGGAGGAGGAGUCUUACCUCAGUCCAGAGUGACCAGGGCAAGCCCUUCCUGCUAAGUGCUUUGGUUUCUACAUAUGCAAAGGUUUCUGGGACUAAACCUGACCUCCAUGGUGCUAACCACUGUAUCUGAAGAGCACUCGAUGCUGUUAACUACACAUGCAAUGGAUUUUCCCCUCAAAUUGAGCUUCCUGAUCCAGGUGUUGGUUUUGCGGGCGCGUUUUCUGGAAGUGCCUCCUUGACUUCUCUUGCAUGGCAUGCUUCUUCCUAAAAGAUGGCUACUGUUAUAUUCCCACUAGCUCUGUCGCUGCCUUUACCUCAUGAAUUCUCCUCCCUGCCUACAUACCUGCUCUGGGACAUGGCCCCAAAGAUCUUUUAGGGGCAGCAAAGCACUCAGGAAACAGAUGUGGCAUUUGAAUAUCGAGCCCCUAAGGUACUCCCAGGGGAUGGUCUGAGUGGCAAUACUACUGCCUAUAACAUGUCCCCAGAGACUACAGGAAGCUACACAGCCAGACACACAAAGGUAAGUCUGACAGGCAGCCACAGUGGCACCCUGAUUUGAAGGGAGGGAGGGACCAAACUCUUGCCGAACCAUCAAAAGGCCUGGACCUUGAUGCUGUCACAUUCCUUUCCCGUGGUUACUAACUUGUUCCACUAACAACACCCAGAAUAUGAGAAAAGUCUAAUAUCUCCAUGCCUAAGGAGGGGUGGCCAUGAUGGCCGGCUAGCCUCAAGAUCUAAAGAAUACCCUCACGCCUGUUAGGUCUUCGAUUCUUACGCAGAGCUUGAGUGAAUCCUCUCGUGUUCCUGCUGUCAGGAAGGUUGAAGAACUCGGGUUAGCUCUCCUGUUUGUUCCCUCUCUUCUCCUCAUGUGCAACCGGUGUCAUCUUAAGAUAAUAGUUAAUCGACUACCAAGCCAGAGGGCAUUAUUUUAGUCCUUGCCAAACAUACAGGAGCAAAUCUGCUCACCUUUUCCCCUCGGGAAACAGUUUAGGACAAGGGACCAUUUGUGAAGCCAGAGUAGCAUUUGCAUUGGCGUGCACAGUGUCUAGUUUCCAGCACCAAGAUCUUAGUGUGUGACCCUUCCUGACCCUUACUGCACUCCCCUGCCAUCUGCGUUCCUUAGUUCGUUAGAAGAAGAGGAAGGCAGUGCAAAGCAAAUGCUCAGAGGAACCUCCCUCGCCGUACCGGUCAUCAUGUGUGUCGGACAUCAGAAUGGCUUCUGAAAGGAGGUUCUCAACCCGUGGGUCUCAAGGCCUAGGGCAAACGACCUUUUCACAGAGGUCACAUAUCAGAUAUCUGCAUAUCAGGUGUUCGAAUUUAAGACUCACCACAGUAUCAAAAUCAGAGUUAUGAAGUAGCAACAAAAUGAAUUUUAUGAUUGUGGGAGUUACCACAGCAUGAGGAACUGUAUUAAAGGGCUGAAGUAUUAGGAAGAUUGAGAGCCACUGCCUUAAAGGGACAUUUUAAGGCAGGAGGUGAGAACAGAAACACUCUUCUACUGAUGGAGAUACUUCAAGGGUUCCCUAUGAUGUAGACGAUCCCCAGAAGGUCAGAAGAAACAUUACCUGGGAGUUUAUUAGGAGUGCAGAAGAUCAGGCCCAUCCAGACUGCCCUAGAUGAGAACUAUAUUUUAAUGAGAACCACAGGCAUCUGCUAUAACAUCUUUGGCUAACUCCUGGAGGGAAUCUUCACCAGCUCCAUGUCUUCCUACUUCUGUACCAGCCUGUGAUCCUGUAAUCUCUUCUCUUCCUUUUUGCUUCUGAGCCAAGUCUUUUUCAUCCAGUAAAGUCUGGCUUAAAAAAAAAAAAUCUCACCUCCACCAAGAAUCCAGCCAGGUCUUGCCAGUUAGAGGUCUCUUCUUCCUCCAACUCCAAAUGCCAUGGCCAUGAGCUUUCUGUCUCAGAUUAGUUUUAUUUUUUUUAAUCUUUAUGAUCAUAAUUUAUCUCUCUCAUUCUAAGUCAUCAGUGUUUCGGGUGCAGGUCUAUACCUGAUUUAUUUCUGUAUUGCUCACAACACUUUACAAUGCUUCAAUCACAAGCUAACUCUGCAACAUUUCUGCCCAUGAUGUUUUAAUCUAUUUUUACUUUAGGUAUUGUCAGAGAUUCAUAAACUACAAUUCGUAUUUUUGUUACUUUCAGACACAUAACCAUACAUGACUGAUUUAGAUUUGGAAAUAUUUACCUAAAAUAUUUAUCCACAUACUUACAGAUACCCCUUGCUCCAAACACACACACACACACACACACACACACACACACACACACACACACACACACAGAGAGAGAGAGAGAGAGAGAGAGAGAGAGAGAGAGAGAGAGAGAGAGAGAUUUGUUUUGUUUUCUAUAGCUAGAAUUAUACUUAGGAAGAAUUUAUUGAGAGUGCACGGGGAAUGACUGCUACUAGCAUUCAGUAAUCUUACCAAGAGAGGAGGAGGGAUGAGAUCUUAUAAUAGAAUUGGAACAUAAUGACACACACAUCUCAGAGUCUCACUCAGGAUCUGCAUUUGGGACAAUCAAAGGUCCCCUGGCCCUUGUUCAGUCGCUUAAUGGAGAAGACUCCAAAGACAGAAUGCCACUGGUGUCCUUCCAAUUAUAGAAUCAUCUGAUUAGAAUUACAGUAAAUGCAUAGCUCAGUUUGCAUUGUCCUGAUGUGAACUAUGAUGCCUCUCUUCCUAAAGCAUCUGAGGGUGCUGUACUCUGGAAGUGUAGUGCCACGUCACAGCAGGGUCCUUGUGCCAGGAAUGUCCCUUAGAAAUGGGACAGAAACAAGUUAGGACACUCCAUUUUUGUGGACCUUAGAUCCCAAGGUACCAGAGCUAGAUAAGUUUUUUAAAUAAAUGCUGAGAAGAAAAACUAAAGUGCCACACACUUUGGACAGUGGCAUAGUUCAGACGUAGAAGGAAGGGUUGUCUUUGGGAUUAUUUUGAAUUAGUGAUUCUAGUUCACUUUUAGUCUGGUAUAUGGAGUCUAAGAGGUGAUCUAUAGAACACAAGUUUGUAACAUCUUGAAAUUGGUUCCAUGUCCUAUCUGGCUAUAAAAGAACAAAGUAGGACUUCUUAGUCUUCGGGAUUGCAAAUGUAUCCUUUUCUACUCAUUCUAUUCGAGCACGAGGCUCGGGCAUUGGGAGGGUAUUGGAGCCAAGUCUGACUGCUGUGUUAUUAGUGCUGCUCACUUAAUCAUCAGACUGUUAAGUUUGACUGCCCGAAACCCAGCUGGAACCGGAGGCUGGGUGGGGGCUGCACUUUGAAGCCACCAAGACAGAGUGCUGUUGGAUCAAACUCUGCUCUACUGAACCAUGAAAUAGGCUUUCAAAGGGGCAGAGAAAAAACCAGAUGUGCGAGCCAUGAGUAAAAGUGUCUCACCAGAAGGCUAACAUUCAUAAUGAAGGAAAGGAAAGCCGACUGCGUGGUGGGCCUCUGUCCAGGUCACCCACAAACCCAGGCCCAGUAGCAACCCAGAAGCAUGAGGAAGUCAGCUUCUGAGGAUCUGGUUCCUUGCACUUGUACUGUGAAUGAUAAGACACACAGUCACAGCAGGCAACUUUGGUCAGGUGUAGUUAGUUUCUUUAGUGCUGGCAUUUGCUUCUUACCUGAGUGGUUUUCUAAGCACAUUUCCUUGUCCAGUCCCAUCUAUCUCGCUAUGUGUUUUGUUUUGUUUUGUUUGAGACAGGGUCUCUCUAUGUAGCCCUGGCUAUCCUAAAACUCACUAGGCAGACCAGGCUGACCUUGAAGUCACAGAGAUAUGCGUGCCUUGACCUCCCGAGACACCAUGCCUACAUCACUGUAGUCUUAUGAAAAGCUAAGGAAAUAGUAUAUAGGAGAAUUACCCUGAUUCAAGUUGGGAGACCGGGAGGAUAAAUCUACUUUUUAAAAUUACCAUAGCACAAGACAGAUCCGACAACUCCUCACUGGCUGUCUUACAGCACUCAAGUUCUAGAGAAUUUUCAUCCCUGCUUUGAACCAACCAAACGAAUCAAUCAUAGAUACCUGAGAGAUUAUCUACAUCAAAUAAAGGUAUCACAACCAGGGAAAACGCAGAUGUCAAGUCAUACAUAUACUAUACAUGUACGUGCAUCAUGGUGGAUAUGUAAAAAUAGACAGAGUAGUAAAUUUCACAAGCAAACUCUUAACUGGCAGGGGAAUUAAUUCUUAGGCUCCUGGUUGAGGGAAAUCUUUGGUUCCUGGAGGUGAAAGGGAAAGUUUUAAGAGCUGUUGGUUUGGACCCAGUCAGUUUGCCUAUCCACACCCUGGCAGUGCCUCCUCAUGCUAUCUGACAUCUUUCUCUAGGUUCGCAAGAGAUGAACACUGCUGCUGAGAUUCUACAUCAAAUUUUGUUUGUCACAGAUGCAGAGGCCUCGUCCACUGAAACUGUUCAAAGCGUGGAGAAGGCAUCCAUAAAAUGUUAGUGCUGAAAGUGUGGAGAAAAUCGUUUUCAGUGUGGUGGGCAAGAGUUAAGAGCAGACCCUUCCAGUCCACAGAGUAGAGAAUCCAGUCACCAUCUGACAACCCAGUCCACCAGUCAGCUAACCCAAAUCCUUCUUAAAUGCUGCCCAAGGUCCUGGGUGAGGGUUGCAAGGCCUUCAGCAGCUAUCCACCAACUGCUCUGAUUUAGGGGUGAAACAAUGGGGCUCAAUUGGGGAAGUGCCUGUGUCCAAGGUCAUCAGAGAAUACAUGGUGAAACCAAGACAAAUGUAUACCCCGACUUCAGAGCUGGUGUCCCUGCAGCACACGACACUCUGAGAAGUGUCACUGUACAUAAAGACCCAGAAUGGGAGGUCUUCCUGAGGACUGUGGGACUCUUUCUGCAUUUGUCUAUGAAACUGAAGAACCUAUGCGUCCUUAGGUUCUUGCAUGACAAAGGGGAAACUCUGGGUUGGGUUAGCUCUCUGAAAGUGGUACUUAAGAGUUUGGGAUUCUAGACUUUUCACCCCAUCUUGGACACUGAUCUUUGUAUACGACAUACUUUGACUCCACGCUAGACUGCUUGAACCCCUUGGAAGACCGUGCCUAGAAAUGAAGACAAAUGGAGGUAAUUUUCUCUUCUCAAGAGUGUUCCAAGGAGCACACAUAAGCACUAUCCAUAGCCAGCUCUUACUGAGAUAUAUGUAGGCAUGGAAAUGAAAUGCCACUCAUGUCCACUAGAGACAGACAGUUUCAACUCCCGUGUUCUGUGUAUGCAUAGACAGGGUCAAUUAAAGCUACAACACCCCUUUUUUACUUUCAACAUCAACACUCCAAUGCUUGUUGUCCUGUGUCUAUAGACAAUUUGUAUGUUGUCCUUUCCUGUGUGUUCUAGGAUUGUACCAGGAAUGUGCGCUACUCUUAUCCUAGGAGAAGAUGCUGAUGAGUGAAGUUCUGAUUACUAAGAAAAAACAAGAAUGAAAAGCACUGUAAAGCCAAAGACCAGGGCUUCAGCAGCUGCUUCUUAGAAUGAACUCAAGGGCAUGACCCAACCACUGAGUCCAAGGGUGUGAGGAGAGUGUGGCCGCCUUCCAGACUCUUCUGUCCUGGCUUACUUAUCCUAUCGCCUGAUUCCUUUUGUUAAGGUCAUCAUUCUGAAACAUCAUUCUAUGCUGCUCAUCCCUGUGUCCACCACUCUCUCAACACACACCACACACACCACACACACACACACACACACACACACACACACACACACACACACCUCUAUCUGUAUUUCAGAUUCAGCCUUCACACUAAUCCUUCAAGGGGGCUUUUCCACCACCUCCCUUUCUCACAAAUACCAGCCGCACUCCCAUUCCGUGGCCUUUCCCAUCACUUUUCAUGGUAUACACGUUUUCAAAACCAUUGUUAAAUGUGACCAUCUCAUGAAUCUCUGGGCUCCUUGAUGUCAAAACCGUCUUGCUGUUUAGCCACACCCUAAACAAAGCCUAGCAUCUAGAUCCAAGGAUACAUACAGCCAAUAACUGAAUAUUUGUCAGAAGAACAAGUAUUCAAAAGUUUAGCAAUUCAUCUCUUGUUGACAGUGCCUUAAAAGCCUGUUUCAAUCACUUAUUAACUGUCCUGCUGCCCCUUUGUGUCUAACCUAAUACUUGGCAUUUCCUAUAGUCCCCCCUCUUCAGUGCAUUGAGUUUCCAUGACCCUGGUUUCCUGCCCCAGAUUCCAUGUUUACAAAAGCUUUGCACUACAAGAUCUAUCUAAAAAACCUGAGAUAACUCCCUUAAACUCCUCACUAAGCAGUCAGUACCCAUUAUGUCUUUCUGUAGCAUCCCGUAUCCAGUGUUAGCUUCUGCUCUAAUCACCUACCUAAACAGCUUCCAUGGGGACUCCACUUAUAGGCAAGGCUCAGAUAAUACUGAAGGAUAAAUCAAGGACAAGGGAUGCUGAGCUUCUUAAGAGUACAACUCCUACAGAAACCUCUCUAGCACAGUAGUUGGUGGCGCACAUAGUAGGUACUCAUCAUGAGUUUACUUGAAAACCAUUCUCCUCUGGAUGUGAUAUGAGGAGGCAAAGAAAUAUUAUACAGCACUGUGGUCUUUGAAAUAUUACAGCCAUGCAUACAUGUAGCCUUGGGAAAAGGCUUAACCCCACUGAGGAUAAUGCCACUGUCUAUGACCCGUGUGAAUGGGUCCACAAGUUCUACAAUUGUUGAGCCCACAAGACAGAUUCAAUCUCCACCACAUUUUUCCUUCCCUAUUGUCCAAAAAUUCAUAGACAUCAACUUCUGGGAACCCAAGAGUAAUACAUGGGUUAGAACCCAGAGUAAGAGACCUUUUUCCAUGUUCCCAGCCAGCCAGCAUAUGAUAAAACCUAUGCCCUGUUGCUCCUUCUCAAACUGUGCACCCUGAUGGAGGGAAAGGUGGCUGGAAUCGCCUCAAAGAUGACUCAGUUCAGUGACUAAGGCAAGGAGGUACCGAUAGUGGGAAGCAGGUGGGGGCGAAGAGGAAAUGAGUGCGCACUGUAUCUCGAAACAAGCUCUAACACAAAGAGAUCUGAUCUGGUACCUAUUGUGGCCCCGAUACCACACAGACGGGGCCUGGGUGCUUCCUUGUGUUGUCUGCCUUACUUCAUAGUGUGCUUCCUAUACGCUGCAGCAUACCAGCGCUCAGCAUCCUCUGUUCUCUAGGGUGGGUUAGAUGGGUAUUGGACCCUUGAAUAUCACUGUGGAUGGACUGUCUUUUUAAGUACAUCCUGUAUCCCCAACCAGUUUGCAUCUGCUGGGUACCAGACUGUCUCUUUCACCCAUGGUUGAACUCACAUCCCUGAGCAUUGGGCAAACAGUGUGUCUGCACAUGAGCACACCACAUUCAGCUCCUCUGAUGGUUAACUGUGCCACCAUUUACCUAAUCACCCAAGCUAGAAUCCAUCUUCUGGACCCAUCAGUCACUCCAGUGUCCAGAGGAGCACCAGUUCCAAGAUUUCUCUUAUCUUUUCUCUUGUCCUUCCCCUCCUGCAGCUGGUGUAGACAAAUUACCACCGUCAUCCAUUAUGGCUGUUUCUCCCCUCGCCGGUCUGGCCUGCUGACCCCACCCCACAAAUUCAUACAUACAGUGACACACCCUAGAGUGCAGUCAGCCCUCCGAGUCGCAUAUCGCACUACAACCUUCCCACUUCCAAAUCUUCCAACCCGCCAUUCCUUUUCUCAGGUGUGUGCUUCUCAGUCAAAAUUCCCCAUCGUUUUCAUUUCGCUUGCACUGUCUCUCCUGUGGGAGCCCCUGUUGUGCUGGCUUGGUUAUGCCUCUCUCUCUCUCUCUCUCUCUCUCUCUCUCUCUCUCUCUCUCUCUCUCUCUUCCUUCCUUUCUUUCUUUCCUUCCUUCCUUCCCUCCCCCUCUCUCUUUCUCUCUCUCUUUCUUUCUUUCUUUCCUUCUCUCUCUCUUUCUCCCCCCUCCUUCUCUUUCUCUUUCUUGUUUAGUCCUUUCCGAGGACUGAGAGAUCCUU